AAUAAUAAAAAAGGGAGCUUGUGAACAGGCUGAGAGGGAGUUGUAAACUCCGACCAUACCUGAUUUGGAUAAUGCCAACGGAGGGAAAUACUUAUGGAAUGUA
rnacentral:ncRNA from 1 species